rnacentral:lncRNA from 1 species
UUCACAAGAUGUGAUAUAUCCUCGUGUCUGCUCACGCACCAAUAUUAAAGAUUACCAGUGAGUCCUAUGACACUACUUGAUUUGCUGUUUUCGCGCAAAAUACAAAUAUAGCAUUCUGCGUUCCCACAGUAUGCCAUCUCGGACGAAAUGCCCGCUACAAUAUGGUCCUUUCGUAUCCCAGCCUUAUGUGUGAAUGCCUCAAUAUCACUACGUUACAUUCAUCGUAACUUGAGUAACCCCGCAAAUUAGCAUUCCUAACAUUUGUCCACCCACACCUCGAGUUUGCAUCCUCAAUAUGGUCUCGCCAUCAUGAGUACUUAAUCUGCACGUUGGAAGCCACACAAAAUGGAGCUAGUCGAUUAAUUUCCUGCAACUGCAAUUGGUAGUCCAGCAUAAUUCAAAUCAAACUUGACCUUUCGCUUCGUACACUAAGUAGUCCCUGGAACACACAGUACAGUACUUGCAUUGCUUCACGUAAUCAAAUGAAGUCAACAAGACUGCACAUGGAACCGCAAUGAAACCGUGCAUCAACUAAAGCAGCAUACAGUCGCGAUCAAAUGGUGUGAACUUGGCAAACUGAAAGCUGAGGAUUUCAUUGGGCCUCUGAGAUCACCGUGGCAAACCACAUCACUGCUGCCAGGGCAGCACUCCAUGCACUGCACUAGAUUGAUGCAAGAGGCACGUUCUGGUUUAAGCUUAGCACCAUGCACAGUCAUAAUUUCAGCAACGAUGACCCUGGGCCGACCCUGUUGGUCAAACCAGUUGGGAACAGUUCCUCUGACAUUUUGGUUCGGUUCAGCUGAAAAUAAUGGUUUAUCUUUGGUUUGGUUAAAAGCCUGGUUAGAAACAAGACCACAUAUAGAGAUUCAAUGAAUUAAACAAUGUUGCCUAAACACAAAUUCACUGCACACAACCCUGACAUCUUGACACUUGAAAAUCAAGGACUUACUUUAUUUACAUCAUACUGCAGGCCGUGUGGCCCAACCAGGAGGGGCAAGUUAACACAUAAAAAAUAUGCGUACAAAAGGCAGAAUUGCAAAAUAUAAAACUUAGGAAAGGAAACAAAAUAGCACAAAAGAGCAAUGUUACUUAGGAAAUACUAAUAAUAUGAGUUUGAAAUGAAUCAGAGGAGUUGAGAUGUUGGAAAGGGACGAGGUUCCAUUCUUGUAUAGUUCGGGGAAAAAAAGAAAAUUUAAAAAGGUUUGUCCUGGCAAUGUAAGGGGAGGGUGCGAGGGGGUGGGAAUGACUGGUUUUCCUGGAUGCAGAAGAGUUAUGUAUGGACUAGGAUCUGAAGAGAAUUUACGGUUUACGAAGGAGUAAAGGAACUUCAGGCGUAUCAUUUUUCACCUUGUUUGAAGGGUGUGAAAACGAUUAGUGCGCUUCAGUUAGAGACUUAUAUUCAGUUAUAGACUCUUCUCGGCCAUAUUUGGAAAAAAUAAAACGUAUGGCUCUGUAUCUUUUCAAGGGCGUUAAUGUUGAUUUUGUUAAACGGGUCCCAAAUAACGCACAAGUAUUAUAAUUUGGGUCGAAUAAAAGGGGCAUAGGCUAAUGAUUUCACUUUAUGGGACGCAUGUUUAAGCUUAUGGCGAAGUAGACAUAGCUUUCUAAAAGCAGAAGAGGCGGUAGCAGCAAUGUGGCUAUUCCAAUUUAGGUUGUUAGUAAUUGUAAUUCCAAGAUAAUUGUACUCGCUCACUUUGGCCAAGGGGUCUUGGCCAAUAGAAUAAGAAAACUUCAGGGGUAGUUUUUUGUUUGUUAUACAUAGAAGCACCAUAUCAGAGUUAAGUUUCAUUCCGCACUUCUUGCUCCACUCAAGAAUGAUGUUUAAGGCUAAAUGAAGAUAUAGUUGAUCAUUAACUGUAUUAAUAUCCUUAAAAAUAAUAUAGUCGUCUGUGAACAGACGAAUAUUGGCAGGGGCCUCUAUUACGUCAGCUAUGUCGUUACAAUAAAUAAGAAAUAGUAGUGGGCCAAGCACGCUGCCUUGAGGCACGCCAGAGGUUACUGAAAGUAUUGGACUGCUGCCCAUCAAUCACUACGUCCUGUUUUCGAUGCGUUAAGUAAGCAGAAACCCAGGGCAGGAUAAAGCCAGGAAGACCAAGGAAUUCUAAUUUACAAAUUAAUUUGUCAUGAGGAACUACAUCAAUAGCUUUUUGAAAAUCCAAAAAUAUCAUAUCUACUUGGCCAGCCUUGUCUAAGACAGAAGCAAACGAGUGAUUGACUGUGCUUAAUUGGGUGACUGUCGAGAGCGCCUUCCUGAAGCCAUUUUGGAAAGGAGAUAAAAUGUUAUGCUUGUUUAAGAAAUCAUUAAUGUAGUCAGCAACAAUGUGCUCAAUUAAUUUACAAGAGGACAACAGGACAACAUGGAAAUCGGAUGGUAAUUCAAGACUGAACUUGGGUCAACUUUUUUUAAUAUAGGGACAACACGUGCUACUUUCCAAUCGAAUGGAAGUACCGCGGAAUGUAGACAGGCUUGAAAGAUUACUACAAGACAUUUAAUUAAAAUAAAGGUUCCGCAUAACGCCGAAGGAAGGUGUUGGGAAUGCAAUUUGGACCAACAGAUGAUUUCACUUUUAAUCGGAGUAGCAUAUUAAGUACACCUUGAUGAGAAAUAUUAACGUCAGAAGAGCAGGACAGUGAUGUUUGGAAAGAGGGUUCAGUGGGCGGGGAGAAGACACUGUGGAAGUGGCAUGUGUCGUAGCCUACACGCCUCA